rnacentral:rRNA from 1 species
UACAGAGGGUGCAAGCGUUAAUCGGAAUUACUGGGCGUAAAGCGUGCGUAGACGGUCAUGUAAGUCGGGUGUGAAAGCCCCGGGCUCAACCUGGGAAUUGCAUUCGAGACUGCAUGGCUAGGGUGCGGAAGAGGGAAGCGGAAUUUCCGGUGUAGCGGUGAAAUGUGUUGAUAUUGGAAGGAACACCGGAGGCGAAAGCGGUGCACUGGGGCUGGUCUGACGCUGAGGCACGAAAGCCAGGGGAGCGAACGGG